GAGUUUGAUCAUGGCUCAGAUUGAACGCUGGCGGCAUGCCUUACACAUGCAAGUCGAACGGCAGCACGGGAGCUUGCUCCUGGUGGCGAGUGGCGAACGGGUGAGUAAUGCAUCGGAACGUAUCCUGGAGUGGGGGAUAACGUAGCGAAAGUUACGCUAAUACCGCAUAUUCUGUGAGCAGGAAAGCGGGGGACCUUCGGGCCUCGCGCUCUUGGAGCGGCCGAUGUCGGAUUAGCUAGUUGGUGUGGUAAAGGCUCACCAAGGCGACGAUCCGUAGCAGGUCUGAGAGGAUGAUCUGCCACACUGGAACUGAGACACGGUCCAGACUCCUACGGGAGGCAGCAGUGGGGAAUUUUGGACAAUGGGGGCAACCCUGAUCCAGCCAUGCCGCGUGAGUGAAGAAGGCCUCGGUU
rnacentral:rRNA from 1 species